rnacentral:misc_RNA from 1 species
GAUGAGUCAAUAUUUUCUUAUGAAUAGAUUAUUUGUUGGGAGUUUAAUUCUAAAGUUAUAAACUAAAUAUCAGUGAGUUAGAACAUAAAAAAGUGAUUUAUAAUUUUUAGUUUUGUUUGUAUAAUAUUUUGAUACUUGGAAGGCAGAACUGUAGCUGGAAAUAAUAAUGCUAAGCGGAAGAUGAAUAAUUCAAACUAUUUCCUUUUUUUUGUGUAAAUAAAUAAUAAAUUCAGAAUGAUUAGCAAUAAAUAUUACAAUAAUGUAUGUGAAUAGUCUGCUUUAGAAUUUAAUUUAAGAAUUAUGAGAUAUGUUAGUUUCGAAAAAGGUUUUAUUCGAAAUAACUAAAAGCUACCGGUAAAAUCUAUCAAUAACUUAUGCGUGUGGCGAUUACCAGAGAUGAAACAAACCCUUACUGUCCUUAAUUGAUAUUUAAGCAUUACCUCAGUGUUAAUUUUUUGUGUGUAAAUAACUAAGAAUAUGAAUUUAUGUUUAUAAUGUAAGGUAAGGCUAAAUUUAUAUUUAAGGUUCACUAAGGUUCUAAGGUUUAAUUUCUGUUUCAAUAAUUUUUGUAUUUCAGAAUUCUAAAAUAAUUAAACUCCUAAUAGUGUAAAGAUACUCUGUGGUGUAAACAGGUGAUAAAUAUUGUAUAUUAUCAAGAUUAAUAAUUAUUAAAUUAUAUUUAUUGUUAUAAUAAUUGUAAAUAAUAAAUAUAAAACCUUUUUGAAACCACCA